UCCUAUGUGAUUUAUUAGACUGAGUUCUAAGACCUUGGCCAGGGCAGUAAUAUAAAGUGGAGAAAGAGUUUUUCACUAUCGAACUCAAGUCAAAUAAAUCUAGACAUAUGACAGAUGACGGGGUUUGACGAGUUAUCCAUGACCUCCGGUCUGUAGGGAUCCACGAUAGAAGGACUGUAUCAUACGAUAACUGCACCUAGAGGUUCAUCAUUCUAUUCUGCUGGAUGGCCACUACAUACUGCUAGGUAUCACUGGUGGAUGGUGAGACUCACAGGGAUCAUCUUGAUGGUCGAUAAUCCCUGGUGAGUUGAGUUGGAAUUGUUUCAACCCAUUGAAAGGAGUUUUCAAUGAUAUUGUGAUAGAGAUUGCAAUAUAUCUC
rnacentral:lncRNA from 1 species